GCCCCACUGCGCCGAGGGCCGCCAUCGCUAUUGCGGCAUUCUCCCUCGGCUCCGGAGGUAGGGGCAACUCUUCUCUUCCUGUCUGGGAAAAAGACCAUAGCUCAAAAGGAAGGCCGAGGGAGAAGUUAGAAAGGGAUGAUGAACGAAGCGUUUUGAGGGGACUGCAACGCCGCGGCAAUACCCGCCCCUGAGCUGCGCGCACUACCGCCUCGGUAGCUAUCAUGGCCGCCGGGUCACGUGACUCCGGCUUGGCGCCGUCCUGGUUUUCCGUCACCCUGGUUCUGUAGUCUCGGUUCUCCGACUCCCUCUUUUUCUCGCUUGUGGACUCCGAUAUAUUGCCCUUCUUCCCUUAGAAGAACUGCUGAACCGACUCUGAGAAAUUUGGAACUCCCGAAAACUGAAGACCGCCGGGUCGCAGAAGGGGAGAAGAUGGGGCAGGGGCAGAAACCCUCUUCUUUCCUGAAGUAAAGAUUCGCAAAACUUCAGACAUUUUCAUCCAGGAAGUAGGAGGCCGCAUUAAAAGAAGUAUUUGUGGAAGAUUUCGCAGCCUCAAGUGCUGAGUGUGAUAUUAUUUGUAGGCACAUAGAUGCUGUAUUAGGCUAUCGGAAUUUAUAUGGAAGAUGUGUAGAAGAUGAUAUUUUCUGAAAUAACUCGUUAAAUGUUUUGAGUCCUAAAUAAACCUGCUCAGUUUUUCGUUGGGUACACACUGUAUUCUCUAUUCAUUAAGUAUGUGGUGCUCCUCAAAACCAGCUUUGUCAUGAAUAAAUAGCAUAAAGGAAGCA
rnacentral:lncRNA from 1 species